CAGAACUGUGUUAAUUACAAUCAGUUAAUGCAUCUCAUCCGUGUCUCGUCAGCUUCACUUUCAAAUUAGAUCGUAUCAUAAUUUGCUAGAAUGUUCAAUGCAGGCGACGAUGGGAGCAGGUGCUUCGGUGCUGCUUCUUGCACUCGGGUUACCUUGCAGACGAACGGGCCUCUUUCUUCGUUUCAUUUCGUCUGCAUCAAGGCAUUAAUGCAAUUUAGCGUGGCAGGGCAGCUAAAGGAGCUACCUACCCUAAUUGAGCAAAUGAAGACGUGUCAUGGUCGGCCAUCAAUUAAGGCUACAAGUGAAGAAACACGAAACAAUCUCCGGUAAGCCUGAUUGGAGCACAUGCUGCUUGCAGACAAAUUUGCUCUUCGGAUAUAUUAUCAAGUGUUUGGAUUUUACUGUUGCGAGGGAGUUGGGAAACACGCACAUACAAACACACACGCACUCCAUUCUUCCACGACAGCUGGAGUUGUCAGAAAUGCAAUAAAGUUGAACCAAAAAAUUUUUUAAAGAGUAAAAGAAGUACCAAAUCGCGGAAAAUGAACAUUAGUUUCAAAGAAAACAAUCUUAAUAUGUUUUUUUCUGGAGGAGCAGAAAGCGAGGCCUCGGCUAAGAAUUGGAAUAAUAUGCAAAUGAAGCAAAGCUCUCAACCUUGUGCGUUACAAAGUCAGAGAGCAGGACCCGGUAGCACAGACCCUCCACAUUAGGAUGUCAUAAAAAUCUGGAGCUGGUUGGCUCCGUCCAACGCGCUUCAGAGCAAUUGUUGCUCGAAAUCUAGAUCUCACUUGAGUUACUCUUAUUUUGGGGGCAUCCGGUGUCUCGGGAGGCUGCAGCAGGUUGAUCGGAACCAACAGAAGCUCCCAUGAAAGUUGGUGUCAGCGUAGCAGAUGGACGAAAUGCGCCAGAAGUACUUUUCUCCAUCACUUGGAUGCUCGCUGCUUCAAUACCGUGAGAGAUGUUAAGAGACGACUGAAGAGCCGAGGUCUCGACCUGCCACCUCAGCCACAAACCAGCCACAUGCAUGCAAAAAUGGCACAUAACGCGACGGUUCCUUUUUUGGGGGGCAUGUAGACAUCAAAACCACGACUUAACCCAUGAUCACUUCUUCAAAUGCGAAUGGGAUUCAUUUUUACAUAAAAAAACUGGUAAGAUUUUUUAAUGUCUUUUUUCCCCUCUACAUUAAAAUGUGGAAAUACGGUUUGAAAACAAUGUCAUGUUGAAUAUUGCCGUAUUUGUUUUCUUUUUUUAAUGCAUGUACUGUAUAUUUGUUCAAAUACGAUACUGUCUUGUGCGUAAAUUACACGUGGCCCCGUACUUUUCAAUAUUCGACAUUAAUUAGUCAUUUUUUAGUUAUAUCGUCACAAAGGAACCAAACGAGCAAAGAGUAAUACGAGCAAAGAAAUGUUUUAAUUUUCAGAAUAUUAACUUUUUUUGGUAGGCCAAGGAGGAAAAAAACCCCAAUACUAAAUAAAUAAAUAAAUCGCGCUUUUAGGUAUAAGCGCAGUCCGCACAAUAAAACGACUCUUUGAGAUUAUAAUUCUUUCCGAAUAGAUUAAAGAGAUUGUUUCCGGACAUAUUUUUAUUUACCGACCCAAACAUUUGAAAGCUCUAUAACCGAACGAGCACAAUGGUACUGCAUCACCUGCAGAAGCUGAUAUAAAAAAAAAAAAAAAAAAAAACAAGCCUUCCACUUUUAUUGUGAACCUUAAUCUAAUGAUUGACACUUUCCUCAAACCAAGAUUUUACAUUUGGAAGAAGUGAGGAAAUAGAGAAAUAGCGAGGAAAUUCCUCAUGUGGACCGAGCCCCAUUUAGCUCAAAUGCUUUCUCUCCUACCUCUCAAACGGCCCAGCAAUGUGGGAGUAAAAAGCGGGCAGGUGCAUAUCAUUCAUGCUGGCCUACUUGAAACAGUUCUGUGCCUCUGCUAAGUAGGUUAAAGGUCCUCCCAAGUGGAGAAAGUAUAUGACAAGCCUCUUGAAGACCUUAUUCUUCUCCAGGAGUUUUCAUUCAUUCACAAUUAAUGUGGCUUGAUGGAAGAAAUGAUGCUAAUAGGGUCCCCAAAAAACAGAAUAUGUGGAUGCUGAUCAUGCAUUUCGGGGAAAAGCGCCGAGUAUAGUUGAAUGCAAAAUCGUGUAAUAGGAUUAGUGAGUUCAUUGUUCGUGGCCAUCACUUCAUUUUCUUGAUUAGGUUACUAUUAAAUUUAUCGUUAGGUCUUGGUGAAUGAGUGCGAUAAAAAUAAUGGCUCUUGCAUUCUGAUAACUUAUUGAAUUACAAUACAACAAGGCCUCAACAUUUCAGAGUCCAAAUAUUUUGAGGGCUAAAACUGUCGGGUAGGCUUGAUUUAAAGUAUCAGUAGGGUCAAGCACAUUUUUUUUUUUUGUGCAAAUUACAAAAAAAAAUUAAAAA